rnacentral:rRNA from 1 species
ACCUAUAAGACUGGGAUAACUUCGGGAAACCGGAAGCUAAUACCGGAUAAUAUAUUGAACCGCAUGGUUCAAUAGUGAAAGACGGUUUUGCUGUCACUUAUAGAUGGAUCCGCGCCGCAUUAGCUAGUUGGUAAGGUAACGGCUUACCAAGGCAACGAUGCGUAGCCGACCUGAGAGGGUGAUCGGCCACACUGGAACUGAGACACGGUCCAGACUCCUACGGGAGGCAGCAGGC